CUAUCAUUCUACCAAAGUACCAAACAACUAAAACAAGUAAGAACAAAGAACAAACGUUUUCACUCGAGUAAUCCAGAGUUACUGAGAAUCUCAAACCUGCAUCAUCUUUAGCUGACCAGACUAAAAGAUCAACACACGAAGCAAGAACAUGAAAUUUCCACUGUACCGGUAAUUUUUUACUACACCUCAAAUUCUCAAACAGAUACCCCUGACCAGUGCUCACAGUACCUGAUUAAGCUCAGCCAGUAUUCUAUCCAGUUCAGGUUUCAACUUGAAGUCUGAACCACAUUUCCUGCAUUGUUUAUGACAUAGGAGGUUGAUAUAAGAUAUAGUUGAUCUAGAACAGUUGGCACUGAUAGCUUGGCAGAUUCCAAGAAGA